GCUGGAAUGGUCUAGUUGGUUAUGACGACUGCCUAACACGCAGUAGGUCCCGAGUUCGACUCUCGGUUUCAGUA
rnacentral:tRNA from 1 species